UAGCCACAGUGAUCAGACAAGAAGAUUAACAUAAAAGGAAUCCAAAUUUGGAAGGUGCAAGUAAAAUUCUCAUUAUCACAGACUAGAGGCC